GGCCUCCCAAUUCUUACCACAGGCUUUACACUGACUGUAUAGAAAGAGGAGGUACAGUAAAUGCACCCUUUAUACACCUCAAACCAGGUCCUUUACCUGGUCUGUAUUGUGAAUUGGGGGACAAAA